rnacentral:rRNA from 1 species
UACGAAGGGGGCUAGCGUUGUUCGGAUUUACUGGGCGUAAAGCGCACGUAGGCGGAUCGUUAAGUCGGGGGUGAAAUCCUGGGGCUCAACCCCAGAACUGCCUUCGAUACUGGCGAUCUCGAGUCCGGAAGAGGUGAGUGGAACUCCUAGUGUAGAGGUGGAAUUCGUAGAUAUUAGGAAGAACACCAGUGGCGAAGGCGGGUCUCUGGACAGUUCCUGACGCUGAGGCACGAGUCAGGGAGACGAAAGC